AUAGUCACAUACAUAGCGACACAAAUAGUGGGAGUUAAUCAUUUCUCCAUACAUCUAUAGCGUACGACACACGCACACACACACAAACACACACACACACACACACUUAAGCACUGACCUUCAUUUACAAACACACGCACACACGCAUACUGACCUACACAAUGACAUACGCACAUAGACACAUGCAGAUAUACACACUAAGCACAUUCAUACAUACACAUAACUACUGUCACACGCGCAUACGCACACGCAGUUAUACAGACACAAAGUUAAGCAUUUCUCCUACAUACAUCUAUAGCGUACAAAACGCAUAGGCGCGAACGCACACACUAUUAUAUACGCUGACACACACAAACACACGCAUGUACACACUCGCACACACACGCACGCACGCGCGCACACACGUACAAACACUUACUGAUGUCAGUUUGUUGACCAAGUUUAUUGUGGGACGGUAAUUCUUCACAAGAGCAGAGAACAUGGAUAGCAACACUACAAGAGAGGUUCGCAACAGAUAUCAUCAGAAAAAGCUAAUUAAAAUUCAUUAAAAUGACAGAUCUAUCGGACUUUCAAAGAGGUCAAAUUGUUGGUGCUCGUAUGGCAGGCACUAACGUAAUGAAAACAGCCAAAAUGUUUGGUGUAACAAGAAGUACUGUCUCGAAAGUAAUGACAGCCUUUGAGAAAGAGGGAAAAACCUCCUCGUCGAAACAAAACUCCGGAAGAAACCCAAAACUUUCAGAUAGUGACCAUUGGACUCUUGGGCGAAUUGUUAGAAACAAUCACAAAAAUACAGCUCCCAAAAUUACUGCAGAGCUUAAUGACCACCUCGAGAACCUAGUUUCCACAAAAACUGUUUGCUGGGAGCUGCACAAAGCUGGAUUUCAUGGGAGGGCUGCAAUCAGAAAACCACUACUUUCAAAAAAAAAACAUUGCAAAGCGUUUAGAGUGGAGUAAAAACCUACUCUCUAGAGCAGUGGAAGAAUGUUAUUUUCUCAGGCGAGUCAUCCUUUAUCCUAUUUCCAACCACCGGCUGAGUAUACCUGUGGAGACAGCCGGAAGAAGCAUUUGACCCAAACUGCCUUCUUCCAACUAUUAAAUAUGGAGGAGGAUCUGUGAUGAACUGGGGAGUUAUAUCUUGGAAAUCCACCAGCCCUAUGGUUUCUCUUCAUGGUAGAAUUAAUAGUCAAGACUACUUAAGCAAUUUAUCUGAUCAAAUUCAUCCUAUGGUUGCGGAACAGUUUGCAGAGGGAAAUGCAAUCUUUCAGGAUGAUAAUGUACCAAUUCACACAACUAAAUUUGUUACUGAAUAGCACGAGGAACAUUCUAGUGAAGUUGAACAUCUUAUCUGGCCACCACAGUCCCCAUUUCUCAAUAUUAUUGAACAUUUAUGGUGCAUUUUAGAAAAACAAGUAUGGAGUUGAUAUCCUCCUCCAUCAUCACUACAAGAACUGGAGACUGUUUUAGCUGAAGAAUGGACAAAAAUUCCUUUGGAAACAAUUCAAACUUUGUACGAGUCCAUACCUCAUAGAAUUGAGGGUGAAAUUACUGCCAAAGCCGGUCCUACCCCAUAUUAAAAUUAAUUUGUCUGAAAUUUUAA